rnacentral:rRNA from 1 species
GUAAUACUCCAUAGUUCGUUAUUACUGGAAUGUUUUUCGAACGAAAGAUCCGUCGCUUCAGGAUGAGUCUGCGGCCGAUUAGGUAGUUGUUGGGGUAAUUGCCCAACAAGCCUGUAAUCGGUACGGGUUGUGGGAGCAAGAGCCCGGAGAUGGAUUCUGAGACACGAAUCCAGGCCCUACGGGGCGCAGCAGGCGCGAAAACUUUACCAUGCGGGCAACCGUGAUAAGGAAACCCCGAGUGCCAGCACAGGCUGGCUGUCCGCCAGUUUAAACAACUGGCGAAGAAAGGGCCGGGCAAGACCGGUGCCAGCCGCCGCGGUAAUACCGGCGGCUCGAGUGGUGGCCGCUAUUACUGGGCUUAAAGGGUCCGUAGCUUGAUAAUAGGGUCCCUUGAGAAAUCCGCCGGCUUAACUGGCGGGCGUUCAGGGGAAACUUGUUUUCUAGGGACCGGGAGAGGUGAGGGGUACUGCCGGGGUAGGAGUGAAAUCCUGUAAUCCCGGUGGGACCACCUAUGGCGAAGGCAUCUCACCAGAACGGGUCCGACAGUGAGGGACGAAAGCUGGGGGAGCAAACCGGAUUAGAUACCCGGGUAGUCCCAGCUGUAACUAUGCGCGUUAGGUGU